GUCUAUGGCCAUGCCACCCUGAACAAGCCCGAUCCCACCUGAUCUCGGAAGCUAAACAGGUUCGGGCCUGGUUAGUACUUGGAUGGGAGACAACCUAGGAAGACCAGGUGCUGUAGGCG
rnacentral:rRNA from 1 species